UUGAACGCUGGCGGCAUGCCUUACACCUGCCGGUCGAACGGUAACGGGCCUUCGGGUGCCGACGAGUGGCGACCGGGUGAGUAAUACAUCGGAACGUGCCCGAUCGUGGGGGAUAACGAGGCGAAAGCUUUGCUAAUACCGCAUACGAUCUACGGAUGAAAGCAGGGGACCGCAAGGCCUUGCGCGGACGGAGCGGCCGAUGGCAGAUUAGGUAGUUGGUGGGAUAAAAGCUUACCAAGCCGACGAUCUGUAGCUGGUCUGAGAGGAUGAUCAGCCACACUGGGACUGAGACACGGCCCAGACUCCUACGGGAGGCAGCAGUGGGGAAUUUUGGACAAUGGGCGCAAGCCUGAUCCAGCCAUGCCGCGUGCAGGAUGAAGGCCUUCGGGUUGUAAACUGCUUUUGUACGGAACGAAAAGCCUUCUUUUAAUACAGGAGGGUCAUGACGGUACCGUAAGAAUAAGCACCGGCUAACUACGUG
rnacentral:rRNA from 1 species